UACGGGGGGGGCAAGCGUUGUUCGGAAUUACUGGGCGUAAAGGGCCAGUAGGCGGCCAACUAAGUCGGAUGUGAAAUCCCCAGGCUCAACCUGGGAACUGCAUCCGAUACUGGAUGGCUUGAAUUCGGGAGAGGGAUGCAGAAUUCCAGGUGUAGCGGUGAAAUGCGUAGAUAUCUGGAGGAACACCGGUGGCGAAGGCGGCAUCCUGGACCGGUAUUGACGCUGAUGCGCGAAAGCCAGGGGAGCAAACGGG
rnacentral:rRNA from 1 species